CAGCAAGUUUCCCCUAUAGAGAGAGACAGGGUAAGACCUGUAGUCAACACCAAAUCAGACACAGAACUAUUCACAUGACCUGUCUGCCUGAAACAGCCCCCCCCCCUCCCCCCAGGGCUGUGUUGUGACUCCCCACCCUCCCUCCCCCAGGGCUGUGUUGUCUUCUCCCCCCCCAGGGCUGUGUUGUGACUCUCCACUCUUCCCCCCCCCCCCCCCAGGGCGGUGUUGUCUUCUCCCCCCCAGGGCUGUGUUGUCUCCUCCCCCCCAGGGUGUGUGUGACCACUCUCCCCCCCCCUCCCCCCCCCCCCCCCACAGGGCUGUGUUGUGACUCCACUCUCCCCCCCCUCCCCCCCCAGGGCUGUGUUGUCUUCUCUCCCCAGGGCGUUGUUGUGACUCUCCACUCUCCCCCCCCAGGGCUGUGUUGUGACUCCCACUCCCCCCCCCCCCCCAGGGCUGUGUUGUGACCUCCACUCUUCCCCCCAGGGCUGUGUUGUGACCUCCACCACCACCCCCCCCCCCCAGGGCUGUGUUGUGACUCCUCACUCACCCCCCCCUCCCCAGGGCUGUGUUGUGACUCUCCACUCACCCCCCCCCCCCCAGGGCUGUGUUGUGACUCUCCACUCUCCCCCCCCCAGGGCUGUGUUGUGAAGCCCAGAGAUUCCUUGGCUCCUCCAUGCCUGCCCCUUCCUGCAGGAGAAGAUGGAGGAACCAACUUGAUCAGAGAUAAGCACAGAGAACCCGACUGAGCUGGGACACGGGAUACCCACGGACAGACACACACACACACACAUACACGAACGGACACCACAGACAACGGACGGACAGACACACACACAAACGGACACACACAGACGAACGGACGACACACAGACGCACACCACAACGAACGGACGGACACACACAGACGCGCGCACACAUACGGACGGACACACACAAACCAUACACCAGACAUCAAAUAAACUGGUUUUGUGUGGGCUGUGUUUGAGCCAAUGGGUUUGUUUCUCAUAUGCAUCGCUCCACGUUCUCCCGAGGGAAUUCUCCUCAGGACGUUCUCCCGAGUGAAUUCUCUUCAGGACGUCUCCCGAGGGAAUUCUCUUCAGACGUUCUCCCGAGGGAAUCUCUUCAGGACGUUCUCCCGAGGGAAUUCUCCUCAGGACGUUCUCCCGAGUGAAUUCUCCUCAGGACGGUCUCCCGAGUGAAUUCUCCUCAGGACGGUCUCCCGAGUGAAUUCUCCUCAGGACGGUCUCCCGAGUGAAUUCUCCUCAGACGUCUCCCGAGUGAAUUCUCCUCAGGACGUUCUCCCGGUGAAUUCUCCUCAGGACUUCUCCCGAGGGAAUUCUCCUCAGGACGUUCUCCCGAGGGAAUCUCUGCGAGUUCUCCCGAGUGAAUUCUCCUCAGGACGUUCUCCCGAGUGAAUUCUCUUCAGGACGUUCUCCCGAGUGAAUUCUCUUCAGGACGUUCUCCCGAGUGAAUUCUCUUCAGGACGUUCUCCCGAGUGUUCUCUUCAGGACUUUCUCCCGAGUGCUUUCUCUUCAGGACGUUCUCUCUCGAUGGAAUUCUCUCAGGACGUUCUCCCGAGUGAAUUCUCUUCAGGACGUUCUCCCGAGUGCUUUCUCUUCAGGGGGAAGUGAGGGUGAGGUAAUACAGUAGGGGGAGGUGCAGGGUGAGGUAAUACUUCAGGACGUUCUCCCGAGUGCACCUCCCCUACUUCGUAACCUCACCCUGCACCUCCCCCUGCUGUAUUACCUCACCCUGCACCUCCCCCUACUGUAUUACCUCACACUGCACCUCCCCUUUCACUGACCCUUCUUCCAGCCAGGACAAUGACGACAACAGACGAAGAUAUACACAAAGCUAACUUUUACUUCAUAAUUAUCAGCUAGAUAUAUGUGAAUAGUUGUAAUCUAGCUAGCCAGCUAGCUAGUUAAACAGGGGGGAAAAAUGAACAGAAACUAAUGUCAUGCAAGGUACAGUCGAUGUCAAUUCUUUGUGGGUAGCUAGCUAACAUUUUUUUUCUUCCCGUGGCUAGCCAGUUAGCCCUAUUGAUUUACUAUGGACUUAACCCAUUCCUUCUUCUAGCCAGGACAAUGGCAAUAGAGACGAAAAACAAUAUGUACGCGAAGCAAAUGUUAUACUUCAUAUCUAUGAGCUAGCUAUAUGCUUGCUGUUUGGGGUUUUAGGCUGGGUUUCUGUACAGAACUUUGUGACAUCAGCUGAUGUAAGAAUGGCUUUAUAAAUACGUUUAAUUGAUUGCUAUAUGUUUACCGUAAUAAUGUAGCUAACCAGAUAGAAUAACAGGCAAAAAAAAACGCAAUAAACCAAUGUUAUCCAAGGUAGAUAUCAAUUCUUCGUGGGCAGCAAGCUAACAAUUAUUUGUGGCUCUCUGGCUAGCUAACAGUAGUAGUUAGCCAGUUAGCUCUAUUGACUUUACAAUGGGCUUACGACCUACGCACACUACAGUGGGUACUGUAGGAAGGUAACCAUGCCAAAACGGGCUGUAUUUAUUAACGUAGCAAGAUAAAAUAUUGUAGUCAGGCAACGUAUAUGAUUAGCUAACAUUUAAAUUCCCAAGUCGCGUUGUA
rnacentral:lncRNA from 1 species